CUGGCGGCGUGCCUAAUACAUGCAAGUCGAACGGUCUUUUCUAUGGAAGCUUGCUUCCACUGAGAAGAUAGUGGCGAACGGGUGAGUAACACGUGGGUAACCUGCCCAUAAGAGGGGGAUAACAUCCGGAAACGGGUGCUAAUACCGCAUAGUUUUCUUGAUCGCAUGAUUGAGAAAGGAAAGACGGCCUUUGUGCUGUCGCUUAUGGAUGGACCCGCGGCGUAUUAGUUAGUUGGUGAGGUAACGGCUCACCAAGACGAUGAUACGUAGCCGACCUGAGAGGGUGAUCGGCCACAUUGGGACUGAGACACGGCCCAAACUCCUACGGGAGGCAGCAGUAGGGAAUCUUCCGCAAUGGACGAAAGUCUGACGGAGCAACGCCGCGUGAGUGAAGAAAGGUUUUCGGAUCGUAAAACUCUGUUGUCAGAGAAGAACAAGUUGGAGAGUAACUGCUCCAGCCUUGACGGUAUCUGACCAGAAAGCCACGGCUAACUACGUGCCAGCCGCCGC
rnacentral:rRNA from 1 species